rnacentral:rRNA from 1 species
UAAUGACGUUGGGAAAGCGAGCGGCGGAUGGGUGAGUAACACGUGGGGAACCUGCGCCUAAGUCUGGGAUACCAUUUGGAAACAGGUGCUAAUACCGGAUAAUAAAGCAGAUCGCAUGAUCAGCUUUUGAAAGGCGGCGUAAGCUGUCGCUAAGGGAUGGCCCCGCGGUGCAUUAGCUAGUUGGUAAGGUAACGGCUUACCAAGGCGACGAUGCAUAGCCGAGUUGAGAGACUGAUCGGCCACAUUGGGACUGAGACACGGCCCAAACUCCUACGGGAGGCAGCAGUAGGGAAUCUUCCACAAUGGACGCAAGUCUGAUGGAGCAACGCCGCGUGAGUGAAGAAGGUUUUCGGAUCGUAAAGCUCUGUUGUUGGUGAAGAAGGAUAGAGGUAGUAACUGGCCUUUAUUUGACGGUAAUCAACCAGAAAGUCACGGCUAACUAC